AAUAGAUACCCAGGUAGUCCACGCCGUAAACGAUGAGUGCUAAGUGUUGGGGGGGUUUCCGCCCCUCAGUGCUGCAGCUAACGCAUUAAGCACUCCGCCUGGGGAGUACGGUCGCAAGACUGAAACUCAAAGGAAUUGACGGGGGCCCGCACAAGCGGUGGAGCAUGUGGUUUAAUUCGAAGCAACGCGAAGAACCUUACCAGGUCUUGACAUCCCGGUGACCACUAUGGAGACAUAGUUUCCCCUUCGGGGGCAACGGUGACAGGUGGUGCAUGGUUGUCGUCAGCUCGUGUCGUGAGAUGUUGGGUUAAGUCCCGCAACGAGCGCAACCCUUAUUCUUAGUUGCCAUCAUUCAGUUGGGCACUCUAAGGAGACUGCCGGUGAUAAACCGGAGGAAGGUGGGGAUGACGUCAAAUCAUCAUGCCCCUUAUGACCUGGGCUACACACGUGCUACAAUGGACGGUACAAACGGUUGCCAACCCGCGAGGGGGAGCUAAUCCGGAUAAAACCCGUUCUCAGUUCGGAUUGUAGGCUGCAACUCGCCUAC
rnacentral:rRNA from 1 species